UGGGGGUUCGGGGUGGGCUUUGAGGAUCCGGGGGUGGGAUUUGGGGGUUCAGGGGGAUUUUUGGGGGCGUCCCCCCUUCACCUGGCGGCCCCCUCAGCCUCCAGCUGCAGCCGGAGCUGGUCCAGGGCCUCCUGCAGGGCCUCGCGCUGGGCGUGAAGCUGCUCCCGGGCCGCCCUUUCGGCCGCGAAAUCCGCCUUGUAGAUGUCGGCCUGGGGAGGGGACAGCGGUGACGAUGACAAGGUAAGGUGACAAAGGGCCACCACCCUGUCCCCCUUUUUGUGUCACCUCCCCCAAACCUGGGCCUGCAGCACGGGGAUGGUCUCCAGGGUGGCCCGAUGCUCCUCGGCCUCCGCCUUGAGGCGGUCGAUGAGCUCCUGUUUGGCCGCCAGCGCCUCCUCCGCCGCACGCAGCCGCCCCCGCGCCUCCGCCAGCUGCCACCGUGUCACCAUGUCACCUCGUGUCACCUCGUGUCACCUCGUGUCACCUCCCCCUCCGUCACCCACCCCCCACAGGGAACGGGGGGACACCCCCAACCCACCCCCAAUGGGACACGGAGGGAGGGGAAGGGGGGAAGGAGGUGUGAUGGUGGCCCCAAGGGUCACCAUGGUGUCCCCCAGGGGAUGAGGAGCCACCUCGAGGUCCCCAAGGUUCACCCUGGUGUCCCCAAGUGCCACCCUGGUGGCCCCAAGGGGACAAGGAGCCACCUAAGGGGACAAGGAGCCACCCCAAGGUCCCCAAGGGUCACCCUGGUGUCCCCAAGGGGACAAGGAACCACCUCAAGGUCCCCAAGGGUCACUCUGGUGUCCCCAGGGGGACAAGGAGUCACCCAAGGGUCAUCCUGCGAAGAAGCCACCCCAGGGUCCCUAAGGGGACAAGGAGUCACCCAAGGGUCAUCCUGGUGUCCCCAAGGGGACAAGGAGCCACCCCAGGAUCCCCACGGUUCACCUCAGGGUCCCCAAGGGGACAAGGAGUCACCCAAGGGUCACUCCAGGGUCCCCAAGGGCCACCCUGGUGUCCCCAAGGGGACAAGGAGCCACCCCAGGAUCCCCACGGUUCACCUCAGGGUCCCCAAGGGGACAAGGAGUCACCCAAGGGUCACUCCAGGGUCCCCAAGGGCCACCCUGGUGUCCCCAAGGGGACAAGGAGCCACCCCAGGAUCCCCACGGUUCACCUCAGGGUCCCCAAGGGGACAAGGAGUCACCCAAGGGUCACUCCAGGGUCCCCAAGGGCCACCCUGGUGUCCCCAAGGGGACAAGGAGCCACCCCAGGAUCCCCACGGUUCACCUCAGGGUCCCCAAGGGGACAAGGAGUCACCCAAGGGUCACUCCAGGGUCCCCAAGGGCCACCCUGGUGUCCCCAAGGGGACAAGGAGCCACCCCAGGAUCCCCACGGUUCACCUCAGGGUCCCCAAGGGGACAAGGAGUCACCCAAGGGUCACUCCAGGGUCCCCAAGGGCCACCCUGGUGUCCCCAAGGGGACAAGGAGCCACCCCAGGAUCCCCACGGUUCACCUCAGGGUCCCCAAGGGGACAAGGAGUCACCCAAGGGUCACUCCAGGGUCCCCAAGUGUCACUCUGGUGUCCCCAGGGGGAUAAGGAGCCACCCCAAGGUCCCCAAGGGUCAUCCUGGUGUCCCCAAGUGCCACCGUGGUGUCCCCAAGGGGACAAGGAACCACCCAAGGGUCACUCCAGGGUCCCCAAGGGCCACCCUGAUGUCCCCAAGGGGACAAGGAGCCACCCCAAGGUCCCCAAGGGUCACCUCAGGGUCCCCAAGGGCCACCCUGGUGUCCCCAAGGGGACAAGGAGCCACCCCAGAGUCCCCAAGAGUCAUCCUGGUGUCCCCAAGGGGACAAGGAGCCACUCCAAGGUCCCCAAGGGUCACCAUGAUGUCCCCAAGGUCCCCAAGGGCCACCCCAAGGUCCCCAAGGUUCACCCUGGUGUCCCCAAGUGCCACCCCAAGGGCCAUCCCAAGGUCCCCAAGGUUCACCAUGAUGUCCCCAAGGUCCCCAAGCGCCACCCCCUCCCUUCCCAGAAGCCCCUUGAUGGCCCAGAGGUCCCCGAGGUGCCACCCCAGGAGAGAUGUCCCCAACCUGUCCCCUCUUGUCCCCCUCCAGGCUGGCCUUGAUGUGGGCGUCGUACUCCUGGAAGAGGUGGUGGUAGGCCACCUGCAGCUGCACCAGCUUCCUCCUGGGG
rnacentral:lncRNA from 1 species